CCUACGGGGUGCAGCAGUGGGGAAUAUUGCACAAUGGGCGAAAGCCUGAUGCAGCAACGCCGCGUGAGUGAUGAAGGCCUUCGGGUCGGAAAACUCUGUCCUCAAGGGAGAUAAUGACGGUACUUGAGGAGGAAGCCCCGGCUAACUACGUGACAGCAGCCGCGGUAAUCCGUAGGGGAGUAGCGUUAUUCGGAUUUACUGGGUGUAAAGGGUGCGUAGGCGGUCUUUCAAGUCAGGUGUGAAAGGGUACGGCUCAACCGUAGUGAGCUGUUGAAACUGGGGGACUUGAGUGUGGGAGAGGUGAGUGGAAUUCGUGGUGUAGCGGUGAAAUGCGUAGAUAUUAGGAGGAACUCCAGUUGCGAAGGCAGCUCACUGG
rnacentral:rRNA from 1 species